rnacentral:rRNA from 1 species
UACGGGGGGGGCAAGCGUUGUUCGGAAUUACUGGGCGUAAAGGGCUCGUAGGUGGCCAACUAAGUCAGACGUGAAACCCCUCGGCUUAACCGGGGAACUGCGUCUGAUACUGGAUGGCUUGAGUUUGGGAGAGGGAUGCGGAAUUCCAGGUGUAGCGGUGAAAUGCGUAGAUAUCUGGAGGAACACCGGUGGCGAAGGCGGCAUCCUGGACCAACACUGACACUGAGGAGCGAAAGCCAGGGGAGCAAACGGG